GCAAAACAGAACAAUCUCCUCUCCGAAUUCAAUCAUCCCUCCGCCGCACCACUCUUCCUCCGCCUCUGCUCCGCUUCUGCACUCAGCGUCCUCCGGUUGCUGACGGAUCCCUCUUCGCCGCCGCCGCCGCGGACCCACCGUGGGAGAGGAGGCGAUGCGAGGCGAGGAGGCGGGAGCGAUGGAGGCCGCCGACUACGGGAAGCUCUUCGUCGGCGGCAUCUCAUGGGAGACGAGCGAGGACCGCCUCCGCGAGUACUUCGGCCGCUUCGGCGAGGUCACCGAGGCUGCCAUCAUGCGGGACCGCAGCACGGGGCGUGCCCGCGGGUUCGGGUUCGUGGUCUUCACCGACGCAGCGGUCGCCGAGCGCGUCACCAUGGAGAAACAUAUGAUCGACGGACGAAUGGUGGAAGCAAAGAAGGCUGUUCCCAGAGACGACCACAGUAUUGUGAGCAAGAGCAAUGGCAGAAGCACAGGGUCACCUGGACCGGGACGCACUAGGAAGAUCUUUGUUGGAGGCCUGCCCUCGAGCAUCACGGAGGCUGACUUCAGGAGGUAUUUUGAGCAGUUCGGUGUCAUAACUGAUGUGGUUGUGAUGUAUGAUCACAACACGCAGAGACCGAGGGGCUUUGGAUUCAUCACCUAUGAUUCAUCACCUAUGUACCUGGGUCAUUAUGACCCUUUAUUUUCCCUCUACUUUAAUAUAUGGGUGCGCAGUCCUCCUGCGCUCUUUCGAGAAAAAAAAAAGCCCUGCACAAGAGCUUUCAUGAGCUAAAUGGUAAAAUGGUUGAGGUCAAGAAGGCUGUUCCAAAGGAGCAGUCUCCUGGACCUGUUGCACGCUCACCCGUGGGAGUGGGGCAGAACUAUGCUGCGAACAGGGUUCAUAGCUUCCUCAAUGGCUUCAACCAGGGUUACAAUCCAAUCCCCAUGGGAGGUUACGGCAUGAGGGUGGAUGGAAGGUAUGGCUUCCUUUCAGGUGCACGAAAUGGGUUCUCUUCUUUUGGCCCAGGGUAUGGGAUGGGUAUGAAUGUUGAAGGUGGGAUGAGCGGAACAUUUGGUGCAACCUCUGGUUUCAUCAGCAACUCCAACGGGAGGCAAAUGGGUUCGUACUUCAAUGCAAGUUCGAACAGAUUGGGUAGCCCUAUUGGGUACCUUGGUCUUAAUGAUGUUCCUGGGUCAAUGUUGGGUUCCAUGUCUAGGAAUGUUUGGGGUAAUGGGAGUCUAAACUAUCCGAGCAAUCCUGCAAACAUGAGUGCUUUUGCUUCACCAGGAAAUGGGGGCCAAGUCAGUCUUACAGGUGACAAUUGGGGAGGUCUUCCUUCUGCUCAUGGGAUAGGCAACAUUUCAGGCCUUGGAUCAGGGAACCUUGGUCGUGGAGCUGGAGAUAAUAACUUUGGUUUGCCUUCUGGCAGCUAUGGAAGAAGCAACUCAACUGGUACAAUUGGUGAGCCUUUUUCUGCAGCAGGCAAUACAUAUGAUGUAAACAAUGCAGAUACAUAUGGGAGCAGCUCUGUUUAUGGUGGCACAGUCUGGAGGUUCACAUCAUCUGAGGUUGACAUGCAUUCUUUUGGUCAUGAUAUUGGAAAUGUUGGUCCGACAAUCAAAUGAGACAUGUCAGCAAGUCACAUGGGCAACUACCCUGUUAACAACAAUCAGCCAAGCAGAGGAUAUUUGACUGGAAAUGGACUUUUGGCGACAUGAUUAUCAGAGUGCUCGUGCAGAAUGCUACCUGCCAGUCAUGGCCAGUUGACGCUCACGGAGGGGUGCUCCAGGACGAACGGUAAUUCAAUUUUGACGUGGGACCUUGGCCGCCAGCAAUCUACAACAGUUGCUGGAACCACCGAGCUUGCCUUCUACAGCGGGUGGUUUCUCACUGCACAUCGGCUUGUGUCUGUGUGAUUAGCCCCCUCUUGAUUUUGGAUCACCCUCUGCCACUGCUGCCAGUCCCUGCAACCUAAGGAGCCCCUGCAGCUUUGAAUGAUGAUGAACAAUUCUAGUAUGGACACCGGCAUUGUCUCUUGACGCUCUUCCAUCUGCCUCAAUAUUUGUAUUGAUAUAGUUCUCAACUUCUCAUGCCAAAUUUGUUCAAAAUUAAAAAAGGCAGUCCCAUUGUUGGAGACUCUCACAUGAGUGAAGUUUGGGGAAGGGAUAAACCGAGGCAAUCCUUCUCCCUACAAAUGUAGAGAGGCUGCUUCGAAUCUGCGACCUAGUGACUCAGUGAGACAGUUCUCAUAACUGCACAAGGCCUGCCAAAGUCAUUCAACAUUGUGCUGGGUAAAUCAAGGACAUUAGGAAGCACACUGGACAGGAAUUUCUCGUGGCCAACUGGUUCCUACCGAGAGUGGAAUUUUGCUACAAUCAGUUUUGCAGCAUUGUCCUGUAGUUGAGUGUUCAGUACACUGUUGGAAAUGUGUAGUGCUGUACCUGAAUUGUUAGGUAGUGUAUUAAUGUAAAACAGAUUAAAAGAUUGUGGAAAAGAGGGAUAUACCAUCAGAUUUUCUU